rnacentral:rRNA from 1 species
CCUACGGGUGGCUGCAGUGGGGAAUAUUGCUCAAUGGACGAGAGUCUGAUCCAGCCAAGUAGCGUGAAGGAUGAAUGCCCUAUGGGUUGUAAGCUUCUUUUAUAUGGGAAUAAAAUGUUCCACGUGUGGGAUUUUGUAUGUACCAUAUGAAUAAGGAUCGGAUAACUCCGUGCCAGCAGCCGCGGUAAGACGUAGGAUCCGAGCGUGAUCCGGAUUGGUUGGGUUUAAAGGGAGCGUAGGUGGAUUGUUAAGUCAGUUGUGAAAGUUUGGGGCUGAACCGUAAAAUUGCAGGUGAAACUGGCAGUCUUGAGUACAGUAGAGGUGGGCGGAAUUCGUGGUGUAGCGGUGAAAUGCUUAGAGAUCACGAAGAACUCCGAUUGCGAAGGCAGCUCACUGGACUGCAACUGACACUGAGGCUCGAAAGUGUGGGUAUCAAACAGGAUUAGAUACCCGUGUAGUC